rnacentral:rRNA from 1 species
GACGAACGCUGGCGGCGUGCUUAACACAUGCAAGUCGAACGGAAAGGCCCUGCUUUUGUGGGGUGCUCGAGUGGCGAACGGGUGAGUAACACGUGAGUAACCUGCCCUUGACUUUGGGAUAACUUCAGGAAACUGGGGCUAAUACCGGAUAGGAGCUCCUGCUGCAUGGUGGGGGUUGGAAAGUUUCGGCGGUUGGGGAUGGACUCGCGGCUUAUCAGCUUGUUGGUGGGGUAGUGGCUUACCAAGGCUUUGACGGGUAGCCGGCCUGAGAGGGUGACCGGCCACAUUGGGACUGAGAUACGGCGCAGACUCCUACGGGAGGCAGCAGUGGGGAAUAUUACACAAUGGGCGGAAGCCUGAUGCAGCAACGCCGCGUGCGGGAUGACGGCCUUCGGGUUGUAAACCGCUUUCGCCUGUGACGAAGCGUGAGUGACGGUAAUGGGUAAAGAAGCACCGGCUAACUACGUG